CUGGGCGCAGGGCAGGCCGCGCCCUCCCCGGGCUGGAGUCGGCGUUUCCGAGAGGAAGCCCGGGCACCUCGGCCGCAGCCGGGCGAGGCAGAGCCAGCGCCGGGCGGGCGGGCAGUUGCAGGUACCACUGCCCUGUUUUACUAAGCGUUUUUGACUGUUGCAGCAGAAGACAAAGCUUGUACAGUCCAGAAUGAAGCAGUGGAGGUGCUGCAGGAGAAAUGGUGGGGAAGCAGCAAACGAGGUCACGAGUCUUUGAGGGAGCUGAGUGCGGGGGGAUCUGGCGUCAGGGAUUGCGGCGGGAGUUGUGGGCUGCAGAGGAGCUUCAUUAUCCGCAACAAGCAACGGACAUUUAUUUGGUGGAGAUGGAUAAUGGAAGAUCAUAGAGAGGAGGAAGAGAGACAUAUCUUCUGACAGACUGAGAUGAUAAUAAGUGGCUCUUAAAUUAGAACUGCUGUGAAGCCACCGUGAAGGGAACUAAGCACCUGAACAAGAAUUUUGAAUAAAACAACACAAAAAAGAAAAGGGUGAAACUCUUAAAAUAACACGAAACUCAACACUUGAGGAGGUUCUACUGGGAAACUUUUGUGUAAUAUUAUAGAGGUUUGCUGAUCUGAGAAAUUUCACGGUCAACAAGCGGGCGUUAAAAUACAAUUGGAAAAUUACUGAUGAAGUUCCCCCAUUACUGAUUUCUAAGAACAGGACUUGAUUACAUAGCCCUAGGCACCCUUGUCAGCUCUGUCUCCCUGCCUGCCCAAGCAAGGUAAUAGGCAGGGUCUCCAAUUCUUCCUGCUUGUUCAUCUGAUUCCCAGGAGGAGAUGAGUGCCUUCCCAUGCUCCAUUGUCUUGAGAUACCUCCCCCUACAUCCGUAUUCAACCGCCUGCCAUCAGGCCACAAUGCCUCAGGAGGACGUUGGCUGGAGGUGUCCCAGUGUGAUCUUCCAGGGAACAGAUCCAACCACACUCUCAUGAAAGAGAAGUAUUUUCCCCACCCCUCCAAGGGGGCUGAGGUUGUCUCCCAGUCAGAAGGUCCCUCACAUUGUGAUUCAACCCAUUCAAGGACCAUCAGACAUCCCUUAAUUUUCCUCCAAAGAGGGAAGUGGCCUGUAGCAGACUGCUAAAGUGCAGCUUAUUUAACAACUAAUCUUAGUUGUUUCACAAGAAAGACCAAGAAGUCACAGCCAGCUUUGCAUCUCUGUCACCGCUGCCUCCUUUUGGGGCCUGGAGACUCCCUCUGCCACCAGAACCGACCUGUUUGCAUUAGAGGUACCUUUGGUUUUAAUGCCAAUAAGCAAGUGCACAAAUACUAGGUAGUUUCAAGGUGAACUAAUGAUGCAUGGGUAGCUCACUAUAGUUGUCUUGUGAAAAUGGCAGACAGGUCCUUAGUUUCUCUAGAGCUUGUGGACAUCACAGUCCCAAAGUGCUGCCUACUUGGUAGCACAGUUUUUAUAUGUGGGAGUGUAUAUAUUUCACAACAAAAUAAUGUUAACAGUUUUGAAAUUAGUAUUCAAAGCAUUUAAUGUUUUAGGAAUUAAACUUAUUUAGGCAUUGAUAAUUUGCCUGUCACUUUGCCGUUUCAGUGCUUAUCUUGUAGUAAUAUGGUGUGUGAUACUUAAAUAAACCAGGACUAAUACUUAUAUUUCUAAUACAAUACAUAAAGCAUAAACGUGCUCGCCCACAGGAUGUGCUGGUAAGUUUCAAAAAAAGCUGUGUCUUGCUAUGACUUAGAAACGGAAAAUAAAUAUUCAAUACACUGAUAUAGUACAUGUCCAAAAAUCUGGAGAAAAAGUCUUGGUCAGAAUUUGUGUGUGCACGUGGUGUCAAGUGAUGGUUUCAUGCAUGUACCAGAAACUGUUUCCUUACUUCGUGUGUUCAGUGUCUGGACAAGUAUAAGAAACAAAAUCAUUUUUCUUUAA